rnacentral:rRNA from 1 species
UGGUGGAGUGAUUUGUCUGGUUAAUUCCGUUAACGAACGAGACCUCAGCCUGCUAAUUAGCAAACACAAUGUUUCAUUGGCGCUUAGCUUCUUAGAGGGACUAUCGGCUUUCAACCGAGGGAAGUAUGAGGCAAUAACA